rnacentral:rRNA from 1 species
UACGGGGGGAGCAAGCGUUGUUCGGAUUUACUGGGCGUAAAGGGCGCGUAGGCGGCCAGCGCAAGUCAGUUGUGAAAUCUCCGGGCUUAACUCGGAACGGUCAACUGAUACUGCGCGGCUAGAGUGCAGAAGGGGCAACUGGAAUUCCUGGUGUAGCGGUGAAAUGCGCAGAUAUCAGGAGGAACACCGGUGGCGAAGGCGGUUCUCUGGGAAUGACCUGACGCUGAGGAGCGAAAGUGUGGGGAGCGAACAGG